AGGUAGCAUCCACGCUCCGGUCCUGUGAGUUAAAAGGGAAUCCAGUGAAAAUCUGGGGCUGACGCGCAGCGGUAAGGAGAGUUGGAGUGAUAGCGAAAGCAGACACUGCCGCAAGGCGGGAAGUCAUCACUCUGGAAAAUCUCCAAGCCCGAAGACCUGCCGGUAUACGUCGCAUUUGG
rnacentral:ncRNA from 21 species